rnacentral:misc_RNA from 1 species
GCUCUAAGUAGCUAGCAAGCUGCUUGGAUUAUUUGCAGGUUUAAGUGACCUUGUGGCCUAGUUUGUCCUUGCAAUGGAAUAUCUUGGCAAGUUCAUCGGAGCACCAUCUGCAUAAUUUUUUGAGAAAAUAACAACUGAAAUAUUAGAGUCAUCAAUUGCUUUCAAGAUUGAUGGCUCCAUCUUUUCCCCUCUUUCAAGUCUAUUGUCUAUAAAAGUGCUAACGCCAAGACGAUAAAUCACCAUAGAGAUGGCCAGUAAAAGUGUGGCAGGUAUCUGCACUUCUAAAGCUAAGGAACACAUCAUGUUUUACCGAAUACAAGAUAGCAGAAGAAGAAGAAAUCAUAUUCAAUGAUCUUGUAUACGGUACUUGGUUCAUUUAACUAAGAGAAGGUUGCAUUUGUUUUGUAUAUUAGUGGUAAAGGAAGAUUCCAUUGUAAUUUCCUUAGCCGAGAAAGAGACAA